rnacentral:lncRNA from 1 species
UAAAUAUUAUUAGUAAUAUAUACUCCCUCCGUCCUCCUGAGUUAUAUACAUUAGGGGACGGGGACAUGACACGGACUUUAAUGCUUCUAUAAAGUACAGUUACAUAAAUUAUUUUUAAGAUUUUUCUCUUUUAUAUAAAAUUUUGAAUGUUAUAUUUUUAUUCAGAAAAAAAAAUUUAAAAAAAAAUUACAAAACUACAUUUUAAAAGAGCAUUGAAGUGCUUGUCGGACAAUGAAAAGGAAACGUAUAGAAGUAAAUGGAACAGAGAGAGUAAGGAGAUAAGUAAUCUAUUGGAUUUGCCGUCAGAGAUGCUAUGCCCAUCCGGUCCCACUUUUUUAUCCGUAUGCAGUGAAAAUACUAUUUUUAAAAAUUCAAAAAAUAAUGGUGAAAAAUCGAGAUAAUAGCAGUGACUCAGCGAGGCGGUUUCUCUCUGACAACUCUCAUCUUCUCGCAAACCCUAUACCUAGUUCAACAAUAUAUAUAGCCCCCUUGUCAGAAUAAUCCUCUGCAAUCUCACCACUUGUUCAAUUACAAUGGCUGCCUCUGUCAAAAUUAAACCACCGUACUGUAAAGACAGAAAGUAUGUCCCACCACAUGAUCGGAUUCGAAGAAAUUCAAUCCGAUUUAGGCACCGAAACCACCACCAACGAUUGUCUUUGCAAGACAGGUCACACUUCUAGAAAACACUUAGCGUCCGGUACUGUGAAUCGAGUCAAUCUCGUGUUUAGAUGCGGUGGAGGAACAUCUCUCUCUGGAUUUUUAGGUGGCAUAAUCACCUACAUCAUUAGAGGGGCCGCUUAAUGUGCUUAUGAUUUAGUUACCUAUAACACAAUCAUAGGUGCAGCGGUGCAUGUUUUUUGACUCGAUUUUCAUGCUGCUUGACUCGAUUUUCAUGCUGCGAUGGAUUUGUGCAGCGGCCGGUUACCUACAACACUCUCACGAGGCUGAGUUUCGAUUCAACGGCUGAGCAUUUAUUUAGGAGAGGCUGCGAACCAAGUUUCGGCUGAGUUUCUAUUCAUGCUUAUCAGAUAUAAAGAAAUUCAGUCAUAAGAAGAAAUUCAAACAGACAUACUCAAUUAGAUUUCUAUUGCUAGACAGUUCACACUUCUAUGUAUGUUGUAAUUUCGUUGUUGUAAUUUUGUCUAUCUUAAUACAUUAAAAUUGUGUAUUGCUUGGCAGAUUUGUUUUUCAUCUUUGGUCAUUGUAAUAUAAAUUAUUAAUGAAAUAAACGAUGAAAUAUUUUGGAUCCCGUCCUGAUUUUGUCUUCCUGGGUUGAUAUCAAUAUAAUGAUGUUUAAUGUUGUAGUAUUUUCCUUAUUAGC